UUGCAGGUUUGGUUUCGGAAGGGGAGUCGGUCAGCCGUUGGGGAAACCACUUCUGUAAUGGAGGCUGGCUGCCUGGAGGUGGCACCAGUGCGCCAUUGUCCCUCACACUCUGCUCUGGGAUAGAAUGAAGUUGUGCUCCCGUCCAAUUCACAUGAGCACGACUGCCUGGAUGACUCUUCUAAUGAUUUCUUCUCUGCUCACAGCCCUUCAGAGGCUCCCUGUUCCUUGCUGGAUAAAGCCAACCUCUCAGUGAGAUCAAGCUAGACCCAGUCUCGUCUGGGUCAGCAGGAUGGUGGGAGAAGAGGCCCGGGGGCCUUUUUGGUCUUAGAGCAGAGGGAGGGGGGUGUUUGAGUUCUGGGGAAAAGAACCGAAACGAAAACAAUGAGAAUGAGGAAGAACCCGGAUAUCUGUCCCUGACACCAGUCUCUUUGCAGAGAAGCACUGCAGGCAGAGACUGCAAACUUCUCACACAAGACUCGAGAGCCACAGGACAAUCUCUUGGGUGGGGCCCACAACUUCUUCGGUCACGGAAGUCCCAAGCUUUCAGGUGGUGAGAUGAAGUGACACAAACUGUGUGAAAAGACCCAUGAAAGGAGCGUGUCCCUGGUCUCCAUCUGCAUCUGAGAUUUGGUGCUGGCUUCAUUCAAAGCACAUUUGUUGAUCCCUGAGUCUGCGCUGGAUUCCAGUGGAAGCAGUGAGGAGGGGCAGAUAAGAAGACGAAUGAGAAAGCUCGCGACCUUUAAAAGUUUUAAGUCCUAAAGCAACAAAAGGAUAUAGAUGUAAAUCAAUACAACCCUUGUCUUUACAUUUGACCGAUGAGAAUGUGUUACAAAUGUCUCAGUGCUUAGGAAGCACAAAUAUCCAUGCAUUUGCUGACCAAAUUAUGAACAAAAAUGUAGAUUAAAAAAAUUUUUUUUUUUUAAAUUUUAGAGACACGGUCUCAC